rnacentral:rRNA from 1 species
AGCACCUCAAGUGGUCAGGAUGAUUAUUGGGCCUAAAGCAUCCGUAGCCUGCUUUGUCAGUUUUCGGUUAAAUCCAUACGCUUAACGUAUGGGCUGCCGGAAAUACUGCAAAGCUAGGGAGUGGGAGAGGUAGACGGUACUCGGUAGGAAGGGGUAAAAUCCUUUGAUCUAUUGAUGACCACCUGUGGCGAAGGCGGUCUACCAGAACACGUCCGACGGUGAGGGAUGAAAGCUGGGGGAGCAAACCGG